AGUUGCAGUGCGUUUACGUGUGGCUGGUUCUUCCUGCUUCACGCUGUAUUUCCGUGGGUUGGUUACACUUAAAAAAUACUUUUGAUGAUUAUAAAGCCUUUAAACAGAUAUUUCAAAGACUGCUGUCAGCACAUUGAACUCCCUUGUUAGUUCAGGUAAGGCCCCCCCAGUGAGGAGGUGGGUAUCAGUCCCACUUGGAUAUGGUUCCUGUAGGGUUAUCAUUCUUAUAUGGAUAUAGUUCCUAUAGGGGUAUCAUUCCUAUAUGGAUAUAGUUCCUGUAGGGGUAUCAUUGCUGUAUGGAUACAGUUCCUGUAGGGGUAUCAUUGCUAUAUGGAUAUAGUUCCUGUAGGGGUAUCAUUGCUGUAUGGAUAUAGUUCCUGUAGGGGUAUCAUUCCUAUAUGGAUAUAGUUCCUGUAGGGAUAUCAUUCCUAUAUGGAUAUAGUUCCUGUAGGGGUAUCAUUGCUAUAUGGAUAUAGUUCCUGUAGGGGUAUCAUUGCUGUAUGGAUAUAGUUCCUGUAGGGGUAUCAUUCCUAUAUGGAUAUAGUUCCUGUAGGGAUAUCAUUCCUAUAUGGAUAUAGUUCCUGUAGGGGUAUCAUUGCUAUAUGGAUAUAGUUCCUGUAGGGGUAUCAUUGCUAUAUGGAUAUAGUUCCUGUAGGGGUAAUGUUAUGGGUGCUCAAUGUCUGUCUCUGGUAGUGAGAGAGAAAGCCUUCCUCAGGGCUGGCUCUUGUCACCCACCUGUCCAGGGUGGCCUCUGCCUCUUCAUGCUGCCCCUUGUCCACCAGGUCCAUACCCUGGAACUGCCCGCCCCUCCCCAGGCUCAGGCUAGACUCUGCUGCAGACUUUGGGACCAGGAAGGGGAGGGGCCAGUCUCAAUGCAAAGGCGGACCUGAGACACCUGUCCCGGAAGGACCUGCAGCACCUCCUCCGGUGCUUCUAAUGUGAGAUGGUGCUGCCUGAUCCUUUUCCAAAGUGGCUCCAUUCACUAGGAAGUGGGUUCCUCGGCACAGAUGUGUUGCUGUGUUUGGUGUUGCAGGCUCGGGGGCUUUUGUGGACAUAGUGUGGCUUUGAGAUGCCAAGGACUGGGUGAGGGCAGGGUCCCUGCAGAGCGACUCAGUGUCACAGUGAGGCGAGGCCCUGAGGCUCCCACAAGCUCACAGCACACAGGAAAACUCAUGCUGGAAAAAGCAUCAGGUGGUGUAGACAUCAGGCCCCAGAGGAGGUGGAGCUACCUACUCCUUGAAGAUCAGUUCCCCAUUUAUUAGUCAUACACUUGAGUCAUAAGAGAGAGAGAUUAAGUAAAAAGGUGAUCGAUUGCAAGGUGAAGAAGUGGCCAGCAGCCCAGCCAGCCAGGUUUUCCUUCUUUCUCGUGGGUGGUGAACACACCAGUGCCAUCUGCAGCCGCCUAGCACACUGAGGCUUCACACACUCUCAGGGGAGACCCACCUCACCUCAGGACGCCUCAGUGCACCUGUCCUGGGUCUGCCUGGAGACUGGCGAGGGUGUUGUCAUCCACACCCAGAACAAGUGCGGCAAGACACCAUGUAACCUGUCUCCUCCGGGAGAGAGGGUAACCCUCAUGGGUUCCCUCCGUUAUGUGGGCUUUGUUUCCAGUUGCGACAAAGAGUAGCUGCUGGUGUAGAACAGUGCAUUUCAGGCAAACUAUUUGAGGCAAACUUCAGAUACAGUGGGACCACUUGACGUUGUUGUUGGUUAACAAAAAUAAUCAUAUCUGCUCCAAAGCACAGAUGAAAAGUCAACAGACACUUUCCAAGGCUGCUGGCAGAUUUUUGUUUUAGACUUUCACUGCGAAGUGUGUUCGUUCUAAUCACCCAAACCCGGCCCUGAGGUUGUCGUAUUGAAGUCGUUCCAGCCACACGCGGAUGCUGCGGCUCUGAAGGGCCUUGGAUUUGCAGCUCAACAGAAGAAGAAGAAGAAGGUCUCCCUCAGCAGCUGCUUUCACU
ensembl:lncRNA